CCGGCUAACUACGUGCCAGCAGCCGCGGUAAUACGUAGGGCGCAAGCGUUAUCCGGAAUUAUUGGGCGUAAAGAGCUCGUAGGCGGUUUGUCGCGUCUGCCGUGAAAGUCCGAGGCUCAACUUCGGAUCUGCGGUGGGUACGGGCAGACUAGAGUGAUGUAGGGGAGACUGGAAUUCCUGGUGUAGCGGUGAAAUGCGCAGAUAUCAGGAGGAACACCGAUGGCGAAGGCAGGUCUCUGGGCAUCUACUGACGCUGAGGAGCGAAAGCAUGGGGAGCGAACAGGAUUAGAUACCCUGGUAGUCCAUGCCGUAAACGUUGGGCACUAGGUGUGGGGGACAUUCCACGUUUUCCGCGCCGUAGCUAACGCAUUAAGUGCCCCGCCUGGGGAGUACGGCCGCAAGGCUAAAACUCAAAGGAAUUGACGGGGGCCCGCACAAGCGGCGGAGCAUGCGGAUUAAUUCGAUGCAACGCGAAGAACCUUACCAAGGCUUGACAUGUGCUAGAUCGCCAUAGAAAUAUGGUUUCCCCUUUGGGGCUGGUUCACAGGUGGUGCAUGGUUGUCGUCAGCUCGUGUCGUGAGAUGUUGGGUUAAGUCCCGCAACGAGCGCAACCCUCGUUCUAUGUUGCCAGCACGUUAUGGUGGGGACUCAUAGGAGACUGCCGGGGUCAACUCGGAGGAAGGUGGGGACGACGUCAAAUCAUCAUGCCCCUUAUGUCUUGGGCUUCACGCAUGCUACAAUGGCCGGUACAAUGGGUUGCGAUACUGUGAGGUGGAGCUAAUCCCAAAAAGCCGGUCUCAGUUCGGAUUGGGGUCUGCAACUCGACCCCAUGAAGUCGGAGUCGCUAGUAAUCGCAGAUCAGCAACGCUGCGGUGAAUACGUUCCCGGGCCUUGUACACACCGCCCGUCAAGUCACGAAAGUUGGUAACACCCGAAGCCGGUGGCCUAACCCCUUGUGGG
rnacentral:rRNA from 1 species